ACUAAGGAAGGCAAAGGCAGCCGCAGGUGUGUGUGUGUGUGUGUGUGUAGAGCCCUGGCACCAGGCUGUCACUGCUCCUAGGGUGCUGCCUGCAGCCCCUCACUACCCCCACAAUACAGUCCUGUCCUUGUUUCUCUUUUACGAAUGAAGAAACAGUGAAGAGUUGAGGUUCGCCAGGGAGCCUGUGAGAGACCCCGGGUCUGAACCUGGGUCACUUGGCUGUGGUUGCUGCUGUGUUUGCUGCCUGAUGUUCUGAGCCCCAGGCCUAUCCUGGGGACUCCAAGAUGGCUCUGUCUUUCCCGGAUUCCCCCAUAGCCAAGCUUCCAUGCAGGCUCAAGUCCGCGCUUGCCUGCCCUGGGUGGACACAGCUUCUAGUGUCAAACCAAUGCCUUCGGGCCCUAGAAUGAGGCCUCGGAGGCAGGACCCACUGCGGCCUCCUCCUGCUCCAGGAGUAAGGCUGGGGGUUUAGAGAACUGCUAUUCUAAAAUACUUUUUUUUAAAAAACUAAAAAAAAUGUAGGUGGGGUGGCUGGAGAGACAGCUCCUUGUAAUAAUUAAAACAAAAGCAAACAAAGACGCCACCCUAGGCCUAACCGGUUAAGAGCGCUUGCUGCGCUUGCAGAGAACCUGGUGUCUAAAGGUCUCCUGGGGCAGGAGGAGGAGGAGGACCGAGUGGGUCCUGCCUCCUAGGCCUCGGCUUGCCACUUCUCUCAAGGGAUGUGCUGUGUGUAUCCCACUUGAAAUGGAGGCACAUGGGACUAGAGAGACGGCUCAGCAGUUAAGAGCACUGGCUGCUCUUCCAGAGGUCCUGGGUUCAGUUCCCAGCACUCACAUGGGGGCUCACAACUGUCUGUAACUCCAGUUGCAGGGGAUCUAACACCCUCACACAAACACGCAUGCAAGUAAAAACACCAAUGCAGUAAAAUAAAAAUAAAUGUAUUUAAAAAAAGAAGAAAUGGAGGCACAGAGAGGUUAAAAAACUAGCCUAAGAUCACACAGUUGGGUGCUAGGAACCCUGUUCUUAGCCUACAACACCUUGAGAACUUGUAUCCUACUGGGAGGAUACCAGGAAUGUCCAGAUGCUAAGACUCAGUAACAGCUGUGUCUAAAGGGGUCAAGUCUGGUCUUAGGGCCUCAGGGAUUGCCUCUAGGAAGGGCUGGGGACACAGAAUGGGAUGAUAAACGCGUGUUUAUUUCUCGGGGUCUAUUCUUUCAAUAGUCGGAGAGCCAGACAGAGAGAGGGCCAUGAGUGUCUCAUUAGAAUGUACUGGUCGUUGCUAGACAGGCUGGGUAGGGCAGGAGUGGAAUCCUCUUCAGAGCAGGGUGGCACCAUGCACAGACUUUCACCCUGGAGCUCAGCAGGGUACCUGGAUGUCCACGUAGACUUCCACUCCUAAGGAUGCCCUAAGCUCUGAACUUCCCGGAACCCUCACUUCAGGGAUUUGGGCCUCUUGUCCAAUCAAAGGAGAGGACUAGGCCAGAGCUCAGCCUCAGACGAGGAGCCUCCCACCCACAGAAGGUUCUGGUCUGUGAAGAGAGAGAGAGAGAGACAGAGAGAGAGAGAGAGAGAGAGAGAGAGAGAGAGAGAGAGAGAGAGAGAGAGAGAGAGAUUUUGAGAGUCAGCCCUGUAGCUGCGCAGCCUCAGCUGUGCAGGAGAUGGAGUCGCCAUGCAAUCCCUGGCAGGUGCCGGUGGGCCAUAGCCGCAGCCUGCCUGGCUCUGCCCUUAGCCGGUGCGCUGAAGGCGCAGGAGCUCACAGAUUUGUUGUAAACCUCUGUUUGUUUCUGCUAAGCCAAAAUAUCUUGUUCACGAGGUGUCACUUUGAUUAAUUGUCUCCAGGAGAGGCGCUUUCCAGGGAAGGAGACCUCCGGGACCAAGGGCAGAGCCAGCUGGGCCAGUGCCCACCUCCCACACAGCAGUCUGGCCAUAGUGGCCUAGCCUGGACUUUCACCCUUGGUCCAAAGGGGCCAGAGGAGACCAGGAGGCCAGAAGAUCCCAGUCUGCCUAGGAGGUCAGAGGCGCUGAUGGGAGAGAGGACGCUUUGGCCACAAUAGCUCAGGGAUGAGACCGCGAAAGCCGUAGGGAGAUGGGGCCAGAUUUUCCCCUUUAGAAAGGGGGAAAUUCAGACAUCAGGACUUUUUUUUUUUUUUUUUUUUGAAACAAGGACUCACUUUGUAGUCCCGCUGGCCAGGGACUUGUCAUGCAAAUCAGGCUGGCUUCAAACUUAGGAGUUUUUUUGUUGUUGUUCUGUUUUGUUUUAUUUUGUUUGUUUUUUCAAGACAGGCUUUCUCUGUGUAACAGCCCUAGCUGUCCUGGAACUCAUUCUGUAGACCAGGCUGGCCUCGAACUCACAAAGAUCCAUCUGCCUCUGCCUCCCGAGUGCUGGGAUUAAAGGCCUGCGCCACCACUGCUUGGCAGAAGUUUUAGAUUAUAUGAAGAUUGGGGUUUGCCUAGCAUGUUCAACCCCCAGCCUAUGUUAGAUUGGGCAUGGUGGUACACUCCUGUAAUCCUGGCAUUUGGGACGUGGAGGCAGGAGGAUCAGAAGUUCUUGGUUAUCCUCAGAUUAGCGAGAGACGAUUUUGAACUCCUGACCUUCCUGCCUCUCACCCCACCCCUGCAGAGGCCACUGAGACCAGGAGCAUGGAGGAAGGGACAUCUGUCUAUGAGGCCAUACUAGCUCCCACUCACACCUCCCAGCUCUUAGCCUUGGCCCCUGCUUUUGACUUCCUGUAAUAACUCCAGAAACAGGUGUAUCCAGUUUAUAAGGAAUGGACUCAGGGUUCAAUGAGUCCCACAGUGUCCCUCUCCCUGUCUACGUUCUGCCCUGAGGUGGACCACCGCCUCCAUCCUGUCCAUGGUGACAAGUGGCAGGUAGGGUUUGGUCCCAGCUGUGAAGUCCCCGAGAAACCUUGGGUGGCAUCUCUCCUAAGUCACCAUCUGCCCAGUUACAUUUCUAGUACCCACCAAGGGCGUGUGCUCUCCGGAAAGGGUUGUGCACCCAGUAGGGACUUGAUGAAUGCCAGAGAUUUCUGACAGUGUCUGAGGCCCUUGCGGGCCUUCCAGCUCUGGCUAUUUAUCGGGCUGCAAAGAGCUGGCAGGGAAGCAAUGGCCGCCGUGGGCAAUGCUGCCUCGCCCUGACCGGCCUGUAGGAGUCGUCCUUGAGCGCUCAGCCGAGAGUCCCUCCCCUCCCCUCCCCCAGCCAUCGGGUGAGAGGCUUUGCAGGGGCCCUCCUCCCCCCCAGCGGGGGCCCCUGGAGGGCCAGAGGGUGGAGCCUGCCCGGGCUGGAGCAGGGAGGCCUCUUGCUCAAACACAAAUCUGCCAGAAGAGGUUCCAGGCGCCCGCUGGCAGCCCUGAACCGGCUUCCUUCUCCUGCCCUCAGCAGUCCUUGUGGUAAAAAUGCGGCAUGACAGAUGGCUAAACAGUGAAGCAAAGAUGGAGGGCCAGAGUCCCACACCUCCCCGGCACCCAGCCUCCUACACAGCCACGCUGGAGUGGUGACUUCAGAGGGGGAAAUUUGGGAGCAGUCUGACUUAGAGCCAAAGGCAUUUUAAAAAGUAGUGUUUGAGGGGUUUCGCUAUAUUUAUUGAUAUGUGUGUGUGUUUGUGUGUUAGUGACACGUGCCACAGCACACCUGUAGUGGGCAGAGUACAUUUUUUUUUUUUGAGACAGAACCUCAUUGUGUAAUCCCGACUGGCAUGGAACCCUUGCUUUUAUAGACCAGGAUGGGUCUUGAACUCACAGAGAUUCACAGCCUCUCCUUGUCAAAGAAUGUCACCAUUUCAAACUGUUCUAUAAAUGGAUCCCACAGCCUGGCAUCUGCUGGGACCGGCUUUUUGUCUCGGCCGAUCUCCCUGGAGAUUCUCCCAAGAUGCUGUGCGUGUUCAGUCGGGUGGACGUUUGCAAGAGGAGUAAACAAGACUGACUGGGGGCAGGCGCUGUCAGGUGGGGAUCUGAAGGUGGAAAUGCAACCCUCCUGUAAGUCACAGAACACUGGGGCCCAGGACUUGUCUCCAGGUGGAAGAAGGGACGGGAAGCCAGGACCUUGUGCAUCCCGGCCAGCCUCACCUUCCAGAACAGGCAGGGCAGACUCGUGUUUCUCAGUCUACCAGACUAAUAAAGCAACAGACCCUAAAGAAUUGGAAACCUCAUGCUGAGAGAAGAAAAAAGCCCGCCACAAGAGAGACGUGUCUCUCGGAAAGAGAUUUCACACAGGUUCAGGGGAUGAUGGGGCUGAAACCCAGACACCAACAGUGUGUGAUGUUUGUCCUCUUGGUCUCAAGGUGGCUGCAGCACCUCCAGUAUCAUUACCGUACUCCAAAGUGGACUUGGAGCCAGCGGGACCAGCACCCCUGACAUGUGGGCUGCCCCAGCCAUACAGGACAAAAGGCUAUCUUCCUCUGGGUGCCUGGGAGGCAAAGCCUGAAGUCCCCUGACUGUUAAGUGUGAAGUAACUGCACAGGAGCUGCUGGGUUCUCUUCUCUGCAUGCUUGCUCCUCCCUCAAGGGCUAGGAAGCAGCCAUGGGACCUGACAGAGAAGCAAGGCAUGAAUUAGCCUGCAAAAGCCUUUUCUGUUAGUCGCCAGGGCCUGGGGUGAGGGCUGUUGCAGGCAGACCUAUGCCUGACCCUGUCCCUUGAGUCACCCCAAUAAAGGUGUCAAGAGGUCCCUUGGGAUCCAGAUGGCAACCGUGCAGGCAAAACUUUCCUUUUUCCUGUAUUAGUGUUUCUCGGAGGCCACCCAUCCCGGCCAGGGCAGAAUGGGUCUUCACAGACCUUUGUCCCAAGGUGCUGGCCUCUCUUCUGCAGAUGGGCUUCUAGUUCUUACCCUUGCCCUCCAGGUUCCCCUACAAAGCUUUCACCUGGGCUAGACACCUGGAAUUCCACUUAGAGGUCCAAAUGCUCACACAUGUGCCUUGUCAUGAGACAGGGUCUUACUGGGUAGCUCUGGCUGACCUGGAACUGUGUAGACCAGCCUGGCUCCAAACUUAUAGACGCCUGCCUGCCUGCCUGCAGUAGGCCUUUGUGCUGUAGCUAAAGGUGUGCACCUCCGCAUCUGAUUGAUGCUUCAUUUUCUUUAUGAGUGUUUUGCCUGUAAUUUUGUGCAUCGUGCACUUGCUUGGUGUCCAUGGAGGCCAAAAAAAGUCACCAGAUCCCCUGGGACUAGAGUAGCAGACAGUUAUGAGCCUCCAUAUGGGCAGGGAAUGGAACCCAAGGCUCAAGGCUUCUGGAGGAGUAGCCAGUGCUCCUAACCGCUCAGCCACCUCUCCAGUCUGUGUGUAGAUUCUUCUUUUUCCUUUCUGUGUAGGGGUGUUUUACUUACAUGUAUGUCUGUGCACUAUGUGUGUGCCUGGUGCCAGAGGAGGUCAGAAAAGGGCACUGGUGGUGCAACCUUUAAUCCCAGCACUUGGGAGGCAGAGACAGGCAGAUCGUUGUGAGUUCAAGACCAGCCUGGUCUAUAGAGCUAGACUAGGUCUAUAGGUCUAGAACAGGCUCCUAAAAAGCUACAGAGAAACCCUGUUUUAAAAAACAAAAAAAAAAAAAAAAAACAAAAAAAAAACAAAAAAAAAACCCAAACCAAACAACAACAACAACAACAACAAAAAAAAAAAAAUGCAGGAAGCUGGAGAUAUGGCUCAGAGGUUAAGAGCACUGAUUGCUCUUCCAGAGGACAAUUCCUAGCACCCACAUGUAUAGCUCACAAACAACACCCCUACCAGACAUACAUAUAGGCAAAACAUCAAUGUACGUAAGAUACAAAAUUAAUUAAAAAAAUGCACAUGCAGGCCAAGUGGUGGCACACAACUUUAACCCCAGCACUCAGGAGACAGAGGCAGCAUAUCUAUUAAGUUCGAGGCUAGCCUGGUCUACAAAGGCAGAAAGAUCUCUGUGAGUUAAAGGCCACCCUGGAUUACACAAAACUGAUCCAGUCUCAAAAAGAAUCAGAGCUCACACAAAGAUGAUCCCAGCACUUGGGAUCCCAUGCCUUUAAUCUCAGGUCUAGGAGUGAGAUGGCUGAGUGGAGAGAGGAAUAUUAUAAGGUGGGAGGAGACAGUAGCUCAGUGCAGUCUGAGGACAGGAUUGACCUUUCGGUCUGAGCAUUGGUAGAGAUAAGAACUCUAGUGGCUGGCUGCUCUGCUUCUCUGAUCUUUCAGGUUUUGCCACUAAUAUCUGACUCUGAGUUUUUAUUAUUAAAAAUUAGAAUUCGUGAUACACUUUGGUUCUUAAUUAUACUGUUCUGUUCCUAUUGUUUUGGAGAUAGGUUCUUAUUCUGUAGACCAGGCUGACCUAGAACUCACAGAGAUCAACCUGCCUAUUCCGCCUGAGAGCUGGGAUUAAAGACACGUGCCAACCGUGCAGGGCCUAAAUUGUACUGUAAAUGUUGGGAGCUGGAAAGUUGGCCCAGCUGUUUUUCUAUCUUUUUAUUUAUUCAUGUAUUUUAUGUGUAUGAGCGCUCGAUCUUCAUGCACACCAGAAGAAUGAAUUUAACUCCUUUACAGAUGGUUGUAAGCCACCAUGUGGUUGCUGGGAAUUGAACUUCGAACCUCUGGAAGAAGAGUUCAGUAUUCUUAGCUGAGCCAUCUCUCCAUCCCUCAGCUGUUGUUCUUGCAUGCAGAGGAUGUGGGUUCCAUUUCCAGAAUUUACACGAUUGCUCACAACUAUCUGUAACUUCUUUUGGGAGACCCUACACCCUCUUCUGACCUCUGUGGGCACCAGACACACUCAUGGUGCACAGAUAUACAUGCAGGCAAAACACUCAUAAACAUAAAAUCAGAUUUAACCCCCCCUCCUUUUUUAGACAAGGUUUCUCUCUGUAGGUAUGGCUGUCCCAGAACUUACUCUAUAGACUAGGCUAGCCUUGAAUGCAAGAGACGAGCCUGCUUCUGCCUCCCAAGUGCUGGGAUUAAAGGUGUGCACUACCACUGAGUGGCUAAAUAUUUUUAAAAGCAAUAAAUAAACUUGAAAUAGUGCUGAUUUUGGCUAUCAGGAGCCUGGCAGAUGGGACUCGAGUUUGAGAUCAGUUUGGUCUAUACAUUAAGAUUUAGGCCAGUUAGGGCUACACAGUGAGUCUAUCUCAAAAAAACAAAUGAAAGGUUACUGGCAGGAGAGAUGGUUCAGCAGUUAGGUGUUUCCACUUGCCACUGCUCUUACAGGGACCUUAGUUUGAUUCCCAGCACCCAUGUCCUGUAGCUCCCAGCUGUUUGAAGCUUCAUGGGAUCCAAUGCCGUGUUGUUACAGACUUUUCCUGGGAAGACCCAAUACACAUCUACUCACCCCAGAAAGGGAGCCCUCCACAGACCAAAGGAACAGUUCCACCAACGCCUGAUUGUUGAACCAAUGACUUUUAUUGGGGGUAAUAGGGUUACUUACAGGAGCAGAACUGACACAGACAGCCACAUCACCAAGGUCCACCCCAGCACAGGUGACAGCUCAUGAGGGGGAACCUGGAGCACACUGCACAGUCCACAGGCAGUACCACAAGUUGCAGUGUCCUUUCCAGGUGCCUCAGUUGGUCUGAUCAUCCUCUUUCAGGUAGGUGGGCUGGUCUCAAGAAUUUUCACUGUAGCUUGGCUGGUCAGAGAGUGACUCUUAGCAGUCUUUAUUGCUUGCUUCUGGGAGGGACCGCCUACUGAAUCUGGUCAGUUUCAGGUACUUCCUAAAGCUAUUAAGCUGUUUGUCUACUGCACAAAAUGUUCCAAUCUGGGAAGGAACUGCUACACAUCACACUUGACAUAUUUUUAAAAAAUAAACCUUUAUUUUUACUUUCAUUUACUAUUAUAUUGUGUGUGCAUGUGUGCCAUAGCUUGAGUAGAAAGGGAAGAGGAGCAUUUGUGCGAGUCAAUACUCUCCUACCGCAGAGGCUCUGGAGAGUGAACUUAGAUGGUCAGGUCUGGUGGCAAACACUGUUACCUGCUUGAGUCAUCUCUCUGACCCCAACAAAAUGUUAAUCAUAUUCAACACUAAUGUUAGAAAGGUUUAACUGAAUAUGUAAACAGCAUUUUACAUAAAAAAUUAGAAAAAUGGACAAAGGAUCUAAGCAGGCAUUCCACAUAAGUACAGACACUAAUUAAGGGACUUGACCAUAGUGACUCUAAGAAGCCUCUCCAUUUUGAUCCUUUGUUCCUCGGGUGUGAGUGUGGGUGUGCACGUGCCAUGGAGCAUGUGUGGUGGUUGGAGGACAACCCUGGGUGUGAGUCCUCACCUUCUGCCUUGUCUAAAACAGGGGCUUUCAUUGCUGCUGUUUGCUAGGGUAUGCGGGCCAUGAACCAGAUUCUCCGGCUUCCACUUCCCCUCACUUAGGAGCCCUAGGUAUAUGUGUACUACAACACCUGGUGUUACAUGAUCCAGGGGAGUCCUCACUCUACUCAUGGAGCCAUCCUCUUAGUCGUCCUAGUUUUCUGAAAAUUUUUUUUUAGGUUGGGUCUCAUUAUGUAGCUCUAGCUGGCCUGGAACUCAUGUAGUCCUGACUGACUUGAACUCAGAGAUCUGCCUGCCUGCCUGCAAUCACUGAUGGACCAGGAAUGCUUAGCGGUUGGGCACUUGCCUCUAACUUCUCUCAAUAGCUUCUAGGUUGACAUGAUUAAAUUGCCUGAUGGCCUUGCUGAUGAAUUUUGGUCAGUCACAUCAUGAUCCCUGAAGAUGGACACUUUUUUUUUUUUUUUUUUUUUUGAUUU